rnacentral:rRNA from 1 species
ACAGUGGACGCGAGCAUCUGUGGCCAAGUUUUUAAGGGCGCACGGUGGAUGCCUUGGCACCAGGAACCGAUGAAGGACGUGGGAGGCCGCGAUAGGCCCCGGGGAGUCGUCAACCAGGCUUUGAUCCGGGGGUGUCCGAAUGGGGAAACCCGGCAGUCGUCAUGGGCUGUCACCCGCUGCUGAACACAUAGGCAGUGUGGAGGGAACGCGGGGAAGUGAAACAUCUCAGUACCCGCAGGAAGAGAAAACAACCGUGAUUCCGGGAGUAGUGGCGAGCGAAACCGGAUGAGGCCAAACCUACGACGUGUGAGACCCGGCAGGGGUUGCGUCGUGGGGGUUGUGGGAUCUCUCUUCUACGGUCUGCCGGCCGUAGGGCGAGUCAGAAACCGUUGAUGUAGACGAAGGACAUGCGAAAGGUCCGGCGUAGAGGGUAAGACCCCCGUAGUCGAAAUGUCAGCGGCUUGCUUGAGAGACACCCAAGUAGCACGGGGCCCGAGAAAUCCCGUGUGAAUCUGGCGGGACCACCCGCUAAGCCUAAAUAUUCCCUGGUGACCGAUAGCGGAUAGUACCGUGAGGGAAUGGUGAAAAGUACCCCGGGAGGGGAGUGAAAUAGUACCUGAAACCGUGUGCCUACAAGCCGUGGGAGCGUCGCGCAAGGACUUGUCCUUGCGUCGUGACUGCGUGCCUUUUGAAGAAUGAGCCUGCGAGUUUGCGGUGUGUUGCGAGGUUAACCCGGGUGGGGUAGCCGUAGCGAAAGCGAGUCCGAAUAGGGCGUUUGAGUAGCACGCUCAAGACCCGAAGCGGAGUGAUCUAGCCAUGGGCAGGUUGAAGCGGAGGUAAGACUUCGUGGAGGACCGAACCCACCAGGGUUGAAAACCUGGGGGAUGACCUGUGGUUAGGGGUGAAAGGCCAAUCAAACUCCGUGAUAGCUGGUUCUCCCCGAAAUGCAUUUAGGUGCAGCGUCGUGUGUUUCUUGCCGGAGGUAGAGCACUGGAUAGGCGAUGGGCCCUACCGGGUUACUGACCUUAGCCAAACUCCGAAUGCCGGUAAGUGAGAGCGCGGCAGUGAGACUGUGGGGGAUAAGCUCCAUGGUCGAGAGGGAAACAGCCCAGAGCAUCGACUAAGGCCCCUAAGCGUACGCUAAGUGGGAAAGGAUGUGGAGUCGCAGAGACAACCAGGAGGUUGGCUUAGAAGCAGCCACCCUUGAAAGAGUGCGUAAUAGCUCACUGGUCUAGUGAUUCCGCGCCG